AGUGAACGCUGGCGGCAGGCCUAAUACAUGCAAGUCGAACGGCAGCACGGCAGAGCUUGCUCUGUGGGUGGCGAGUGACGGACGGGUGAGGAAUACAUGGGAAUCUGCCCAGUCGUGGGGGAUAACGUAGGGAAACUUACGCUAAUACCGCAUGCGCCCUUCGGGGGAAAGCCGGGGACCUUCGGGCCUGGCGCGAUUGGAUGAGCCCAUGUCGGAUUAGCUAGUUGGCGGGGUAAUGGCCCACCAAAGCGACGAUCCGUAGCUGGUCUGAGAGGAUGAUCAGCCACACUGGAACUGAGACACGGGUCCAGACUCCUACGGGAGGCAGCAGUAGGGAAUUUUGGGCAAUGGGGGAGACCCUGACCCAGCGACGCCGCGUGAGGGACGAAGGCCCUUGGGUCGUAAACCUCUUUUGCAGGGGAAGAAGAAGAUGACGGUACCUUGCGAACAAGUCCCGGCUAACUACGUG
rnacentral:rRNA from 1 species